UUAGCUAGUACAUCACAAGCAUUGUUUAUCUGCAUAUCUACACCUCAUAACGCUUGUGAUGUCACAACUUGGACCUAUUUAAUGGCCUUGUCCAUCGCCUUGUAUGCCUUGCCGUCUAGUCGUCUACCUUUUCUCCUUGCACCCAUCAACAGAAUCCAUUGCCUUGCUCGCAAGAUCCGCAGAGAAACGCCGCCAUGAGAGGCUCUGAUCAAGUUCCUAGGGCGGUUGUGCGUGCCAAGUGUUCUCCCUCUCUAUUAAUUUGCUGUUAGUUUGUUUGCCGUCAGGGCAGUGUUGAUGGCCGGACGGAAGAGAGCGUCCUUCAGUCCACUCAGGGGAGGUGCUAGGGGUCGAAUUAGCUGCCGACUCAUUCACCCACAUGCCAAGCAACCGCCAUGGAAAGAGCUUAGCACAUGAGUGAAUGAAGCGGGAGAUCUCACAGAACAGGAUCCACAAAUGCGUCUCUUCAGCUGCAGGUUCUUGCUUCCAUCCAGUGAUCCAUGGAAGGUGGUGUGCACUGUUGUGGACUAGGACUGCACACGAUGCUUUUCUGGGUGUGGGAAUCCACAUCUUUCGGUUCGUCCAACAGCGAGAUGUCUUUCGAUCGAUCUCCCUGUUUGCUUUGGAACUUUUGCAUGCAACUAUUGAUUCGACGUGUGCUAGCAUAGCAGCUGGUGCUCCAGCCUUGCUUUUGGAGCAUGACCAGCACUGGGACUGGAUCAUCAGGUUUCCCAAGGUUUUUUCCUGGUGUCCCCCAUAAGAAAGAUUUCCCAAGGUCAUGUGAGACUGCUUAGGCACUUGUCUGUCCUUUGAGAUUUGUGAUUCAUUUAUCCCGGUUUUAGUGUUCAUGAUUUUUGUGCUAGAUCCACUUGUGCAUGUUUUGCAUCAUCAGCAUGUUUUCCCACACCUGUUCGCCACAACCUUUGGUCUCUGAAAGUAUGUGAGCGUGCGUGCAGGGCCUUCUUAAGCAAGUGACUUUUUUUUUCACCAAGAGAAAUUAGAAUGAUAGUCAAUUUGAAUAUACUGCGAGAGUGUUGAGAUGUGGUUUAUAUAUUUCUGUAAAUCUCCAAAAAGCGCCUACUACAUAAAUCAUCACAAAAGUAACAAUAAUGUCUCCAGUCACACAGUGUUAUACUUGUACUGGUAUCAUAUGCGUUUAUAUUUCUUUUCAGAAGUCGUUUAUCUUUUGUGAUGUUCAUCACGUAUGGUUUUUCAAUAAAACUUUUGAGAACAAUACAUGUUAAUUUUAUGAUUACUUAUUAUUACAGUCUAAUUUCAAAGAGUUGGAUUAUGAUAUUUGGACUCUAGUCAGAUUACUGCAUCCUCUUGCAUAAUUGUUGUAUGUAUAUGUUUCAGUAGCAACUAUAUACACACAUGUUAGGAUUAGGAUCCAUUGGAUGCUACAAGCCUACAAGGCAUAUAUAUUGUUCCUCAAGAACUUACUGUCAAAUACAUAGGAGAUCAAUAAAGAGUGCAGUGCAUUUCACUGAAGCCUCUGUCCAUCAAAAGACAUUGCUGUGGUCUGUGAUUGACUGACCAGCAGUCAACAAUGUGCAACCUUUCUUGGGAAUAAUAAUACUAUAUCUGGAAGCCAUCCACAAUUUGUUGUUAAAUUAGAGGCAAUUUAUAUAUAUUAUGAUCUUAUUGUGAUUUUUUUUGUUCUGGAUGUUAUUGGCACCACUUUGUUAUAUAUAUAGCAUUGAAAUCGA